rnacentral:snRNA from 1 species
GUACUCUUACCGCUCUUUAGUUGUCGAAUAAAUCUUUCGUCUUUUACCAAAGAUUUCUGUGGAGAGACAUACUCCAAUGAGUCUAAACUGAUUUUUUUUAAUUUGGUCUUGAUACUAUCG